AUGGCGUCCUCCUCCGAUGCCCAAUCUGCCAUGAGCGGCGGCGGCUUCGACGCGGCCGCGAAGACGGAUCUGGGCAAGUUCUUCGAUCAACUGGAUCUCAAUGAUGAAGUGUUCGAGGACAUAAUUGAUGAGGAUGACCCCGAGUUGUAGGAAAGUGUCCGCUGGCUUGCCCUAGCUAGGGUUCACACGAACAAGAGUUUCAGCCCGUCGGCCUUCUAUAAGGAGAUGAGAGCUGCAUGGAAUCCAAAGCAAACAGUGAGAUUUUGGCCGGUUGGGCCGAAUCGGUUCGUUGUCCAGGCGUCCUGUCUUGGAGAUUGGGAGAGCAUCAUGUUGCAAGGUCCAUGGUUGUUCCGCAAUAUGGCGGUGCUUAUGUGCCAGUAUGAUGGUUUUAGUAAGGCAGCGGAAGUAGAGAUCAUGCAUAUGCCAAUAUGGCUCCAAAUCCACAAGUUGCCAGACCCCUACUAUAAGCAACACAUUGUGGAGAAGCUGCUGAAAGGAUCAGGAGAAAUCAUGGAGAUGCGUCUAAACAGAAAUACAAGAGGUGAUUACGUGAGGGUGAGGGUGAAUCAUGAUAUCCGACAGACCCUCACUAAAUUUGUUAGUAUUGUUCGGGCUGGGGAGAGGCAAGUAUUCCUGGUUCGCUAUGAGAAGCUUGCUAGGUUUUGCAAAGUUUGUGGACUCGUUGGCCAUGAGCAUAAAGAG
rnacentral:rRNA from 1 species